rnacentral:rRNA from 1 species
UACGGAGGGUGCGAACGUUGCUCGGAAUCAUUGGGCGUAAAGCGCGCGUAGGCGGGCUAGCAAGUUGGAUGUGAAAGCCCAGGGCUCAACCCUGGAAGUGCAUCCAAAACUGCUAGCCUUGAAUCCCGGAGGGGGCCAGAGAAUUCCCGGUGUAGAGGUGAAAUUCGUAGAUAUCGGGAGGAAUACCAGUGGCGAAGGCG